rnacentral:lncRNA from 1 species
AUGUGCCCUGCUCGCCCAUGGCGCCAGCCACAGCUCGGAGCUCCCUCUGCAUCCCCAGGCCUGCGCCUGCUGCUUGCCCCAGCUUGGAGCUCGCUCGACCUCCAGCUCCGGCGCCCGGCUGAGCUCCCUGGCUGCCGCGCCCUGCUCUCUUUUGCUGCUCACCGGUGCUCCAGCUCGCGGCGCCCCUGCUUUUCUCUCUCCUCCUCUACUCCCGCCAUGGCGCGCGUCUCUGCUCCCUCCCCCACGGCGUGCCCCUCAAGCUCGUCCAGGCCGCGACCUCGUCGUGGACCUUCCUCGCCGGCGCUCCUCCCUGCUCAGCUCUCCAGCGCGCGCCCCAUCUCGCUGCGCUCGGCCCCCAGCUCGGUCUUCCUCGGUCGCGCUCGCUCUGGUCGUGGACACCGUCGAGCUCAGGGCCCUGCUCGCCGUAUGUCCACGCAUCAUGCGAAGCCACGUGGAUGGCCUUGCCCUCGCCAUCAUCGUUCGGUCACCUCGCCUUAAUGCCAGCCCCUAUAUGAUGCCUCCGACUUGUGUUCACGCCGACAAAAGAAUCCCAAGAGGAUGUGGAGAAGCAAGCCCCUGGUCGAUGCCCCCAAGUGCUCAGCGAAAGGCCUGAACAAGGAUCAUCGUCAUUUUGCGAAGUUCUAGUACUAUGGAGAGAUUCCAAGAAUUGUGGAUUGAGGAGAAAGUGAAGCUCAGUUCAAUACUCGUCUGGUGUUUGAUCGAAGACUUCAAUCGGAGACUGUCGUCGUUCUCGCAAAUAUUGAGUCAAGUUAAUUAUGGUGAGCCGAUUCAGUAUUUUUACUAUUGAUUUUAUGAUCGGGAAAUAAGACGCUUAGUUUGCGUAUGAAGUUUAAGUUAGAAAUACCAGUGAUGCGAGGUGUGCUUCGAUGAGUUUAGUUGCCGAGUAUAUUCGAACUAGUUCUAUUUUGCAGAGUGUAGUGUCUCGGUGACGCGUAGGUUAAGUUUAGUAUUUUAAGCAAUUAUCGAUAAGUCUGUCGAUGCUAAUUGUGUUCAGUGCGCGUAUGAUGAAAUCGAUGUCCUGUGCUAGUAGUUAGUAUCAUCUAUGUUUGUGAUCGAUAAUGUUGGAGUCGGAUAUUGAUUAGUUAGAUUGAUAGCUAUGAAUAAAUAGUUGUUAUCU